rnacentral:rRNA from 1 species
AGUCGAGCGGACAGAUGGGAGCUUGCUCCCUGAUGUUAGCGGGGGACGGGUGAGUAACACGUGGGUAACCUGCCUGUAAGACUGGGAUAACUCCGGGAAACCGGGGCUAAUACCGGAUGGUUGUCUGAACCGCAUGGUUCAGACAUAAAAGGUGGCUUCGGCUACCACUUACAGAUGGACCCGCGGCGCAUUAGCUAGUUGGUGAGGUAACGGCUCACCAAGGCGACGAUGCGUAGCCGACCUGAGAGGGUGAUCGGCCACACUGGGACUGAGACACGGCCCAGACUCCUACGGGAGGCAGCAGUAGGGAAUCUUCCGCAAUGGACGAAAGUCUGACGGAGCAACGCCGCGUGAGUGAUGAAGGUUUUCGGAUCGUAAAGCUCUGUUGUUAGGGAAGAACUGGUGCCGUUCAAAUAGGGCGGCACCUUGACGGUACCUAACCAAAAAGCCACGGCUAACUACGUGCCAGCAGCCGCGGUAAUACGUAGGUGGCAAGCGUUGUCCGGAAUUAUUGGGCGUAAAGGGCUCGCAAGCGGUUUCUUAAGUCUGAUGUGAAAGCCCCCGGCUCAACCGGGGAGGGUCAUUGGAAACUGGGGAACUUGAGUGCAUAAGAGGAGAGUGGAAUUCCACGUGUAGCGGUGAAAUGCGUAGAGAUGUGGAGGAACACCAGUGGCGAAGGCGACUCUCUGGUCUGUAACUGACGCUGAGGAGCGAAAGCGUGGGGAGCGAACAGGAUUAGAUACCCUGGUAGUCCACGCCGUAAACGAUGAGUGCUAAGUGUUAGGAGGUUUCCGCCCCUU